rnacentral:rRNA from 1 species
AGCUGAGGAAAAGAAACUAACAAGGAUUCCCCUAGUAACUGCGAGUGAAGCGGGAAAAGCUCAAAUUUAAAAUCUGGUAGUCUUUGGCUGCCCGAGUUGUAAUCUAGAGAAGCGUUAUCCGCGCUGGACCGUGUAUAAGUCUCCUGGAAUGGAGCGUCAUAGAGGGUGAGAAUCCCGUCUUUAACACGGACUCCCAGGGCUUUGUGAUGCGCUCUCAAAGAGUCGAGUUGUUUGGGAAUGCAGCUCUAAAUGGGUGGUAAAUUCCAUCUAAAGCUAAAUAUUGGCGAGAGACCGAUAGCGAACAAGUACCGUGAGGGAAAGAUGAAAAGAACUUUGGAAAGAGAGUUAAACAGUACGUGAAAUUGUUGAAAGGGAAACGCUUGAAGUCAGUCGCGUUGAUCAGGGAUCAACCUUGCUUUUGCUUGGUGUACUUCCUGGUUAACGGGUCAGCAUCAAUUUUGACCAGUGGAAAAAGGUCAGGGGAAUGUGGCAUCUUCGGAUGUGUUAUAGCCUCUGGUCAUAUACAUUGGUUGGGAUUGAGGAACUCAGCACGCCGCAAGGCCGGGUUUUACCACGUUCGUGCUUAGGAUGCUGGCAUAAUGGCUUUAAUCGACCCGUCUUGAAACACGGACCA